UUUUUUUUAUUUUCCCACUGUACAGCAAGGGAGUCAGGUUAUCCUUACAUGUAUACAUUACAAUUACAGUUUUUCCCCCACCCUUUCUUCUGUUGCAACAUGAGUAUCUAGACAUAGUUCUCAAUGCUAUUCAGCAGGAUCUCCUUGUAAAGACAAAACUUUCUUUGAAAAAGACACAUGCACCCACAUGUUCGUGGCAGCACAAUUUGCAAUAGCCAAAACAUGGAAACAACCUAAAUGUCCAUCGACAGAUGACUGGAUUAAGAAGAUGUGGUAUAUAUACACAAUGGAAUACUACUCAGCCAUAAGAACAAAAUAAUGCCAUUUGCAGCAACAUAGAUAGAACUGGAGACUUUCAUACUAAGUGAAGUAAGUCAGAAAGAGAAGACAAAUACCAUAUGAUUUCACUUAUAUCUGGAAUCUAAUACAUGGCACAAAUGAACCUUACCACAGAAAAGAAAAUCAUGGACAUGGAGAACAGACUUGUGGUUGCCAAGAGGGAGGGAGAGGGAAUGGGAGACUGGAAAUUUGGGGUUAAUAGAUGCAAACUAUUGCCUUUGGAAUGGAUAAGCAAUGGGAUCCUGUUGUAUAGCACUGUGAACUAUGCCUGGUCAAUUAUGACGGAGCAUGAUAAUGUGAGAUAAAAGAAUGUAUACAUGUAUGUGUGACUGGCCCACCUUGCUGUGCAGUAGAAAACUGACAGAAACUAAAUCAGCUAUAAUGUAAAAAAAUAAAAACUAUUUAAAAAAUUCUAUUUGUAUUGAUUCGCAUUUCCCUUUGCUUUUGUACCAUUUCCAAGAAGAGAAAGAAAAGGUCAACAUUAUGCUACCAGCUUCAAGCCAAACAUCUCUUUAAUGAUUAUAAAUUUACCAGUUCAGUAUCCAAUCAACAAAGAAUUAAGAUUAAAAAAAAUUUUUUUCCAGAGUUCCUGUUAUGGCUCAGCAGAAACAAAUCUGACUAGCAUCCAUGAGCACUCAGGUUCGAUCCCUGGCCUUGCUCAGUGGGUUAAGGAUCCAGUGUUGCCAUGAGCUGUGGUGUAGGUUGCAGAUUCGGCUCUGAUCUGAUGUUGCCGUGGCAUAGGCCAGAGGCUGCAGCUCCAAUUCGACCCCUAGCCUAGGAACCUCCAUAUGCUGCAGGUAUGGCCCUAAAAAGAAAAAAAAAUUCCAAGAUGCCAAAAUAUUAUGAGGUGGCAAUUUAUUUUUUUAUGUUAACAUCUUGGCCUGGGAAUCACCAGAUCUUCCAAACGGUGUAAAUUCAGACUCCAAAUCACUGUAAUGUGCAGGCCUGGGAUGUCAAAUUUUAGGGGUGCAAAAUUUUUUUCACCUAAAGCCCAGUUAUAUAUCCAUUUUCCUAUCACGUCCUUAUUUUGGUAAUGAGUAGAGUUUUUCCUAAUUCUCCUUUCCCUUAAUCUGCAAUCCACCAAGGGUCCUCCUAGCUUUAUACAGAAGCCUCCAUCCUAUCUCAUUUCCCAAAGCACAUUUUUCUUUCCCUAUGUGGGUGUCGAAACCCAAUCCAACCUCCUGGAGUUCUCACUACAGUAAGGUGAGGAACAAGGCAAGGACCUUAGGUCCUAAAUAGUACAUCAAGCAAGAAAAAGAAACCAAAGACAUCCAGGUUAAUUAACCAAAAAAACUCCCUAUAGAAUAGCUCAACCGUAACGAAUCUUCACCUCCCCUAAUAAUGCAUAGCUAUCAAGUGCUCUGGCAUUUAUCCGGGAUCUGCCCUCCAAGCAAGUGAAGGAUAUGCGUAGACAAGGCUCCUGGUUCAGGUCUUUGAGCAAAGAGAAAAGCAGAAGACGAUAUGGAAUAACCCCAGAUCUCACAACAGCAAGAUUUUUUAAAUUUUUUUUAAAUAAGAAGUGCCUGGAGAAAGGCACUUUAGAGGGAAUUCAGGCCAGAAAACUCUGGUGAAGGUCCACAGUUGAAGAAAAAUAUUUCAAACUUAUAGGACUAUAUCCCACCACAUUAUCAAUCACGUGUAAGGACAGGCAGAGACUUCAGGACAUACAAAUAUAUGGAGAAUAUUUACUGCCUAAAAGAAAAAUUUGUUCUAGAUAAUUCUUUAGUAAAACAAAAGAAGAAACCACAAAAAAACUUCCAGUUUCCAGUAAUGGCAGACAAAUUUAUUCAGAAGGCAACUGAAACACUGGAUAAAACCUUUUUUAAAAAUCAUUUUACCUAAAGGGGAAAACAAAAAGAAUAAGCAAGAAAAUAAGCAGAAAACCAAACUGAAGAUAAAAUAGAAAACCAAGGAUAUAAGUGAGCAUGGAAUCUGCUUUGUCCCUAAGGGUAUUUGCCAGUUCUAGGAUCUAGGACUUUCUUUUUGUGGUUUCAAAAGGCAAUAAAAACAGAAUUAACAUCAAAGACCUACACAAAAUAGGGAAGCUAAUAGAAACCUCUCUCCACAAUUAACAUAGACCCUUUCUCCACAGUUCACAGAGACCCUAAUGGGUUAUAUCCUUAGGAUAAGGGUGAAGCAGAGGUAAACAGACGCUUGUGCAGCCUUGCUAUGUGGGUCUAUAUCACUGCACACCCAGGGACUCUCAAGCCUUGAACUUGGACUAAGACGAUCCUAGAUCAGCUGUGGCCCCAGGUAUCUAGCAAAAGCAAAUGCAAAUCUCCUCUGGAGGAAGAGAUAUUCAUUUCAUACAUAAAAUCAUUCCUACACAUAAUCUUAAAUGUGCAGUGAAAACAAUACAGUCAAAUCAGGUACAUGAGGAAACAGAUCAUGAGCAAGAACCAGAAAAAUAAACAUCAGAAAGUCCCCCAAAGCUUCACAUAUUGAUGUUAUCAGACCCAGAUUAUAAAAUUACUAUGCUUGCUCUGUUAAAACAAGUUUUGUAUGUGUGUGUGUGUCUGUUUAGGGCUGCACCUCCAGCAUAUGGAGGUUCCUAGGCUUGGGGUAGAAUCAGGAGCUGUAGCCGCCAGCCUUCACCACAGCCACAUCAAUGCCAGAUCCGAGCCACAUCUGCAACCAACACCACAGUUCAUGGUGACGCCAGAUUCUUUAACCCACUGGGCGAGGCUAGGGAUCGAACCUGCAUCCUCAUGGAUGCUAGUCACUGAGCCAUGACAGGAACUCCUAAAACAAGUGUUUAAAACAGAUUUUAAAAUAUCUGCUCUGAGAACAGGAAAAACUAACCUUACAUAUUUGAAAAACCACCAAAGAGAAAUUCUAGAACUGAAAAAUUAAAUACCUAAAAUGAAGAAUACAGUGGAUAUAUUUAAGAUACAGACAAAUCUAUAAGAUAAAUCAUAAGAAAUAACCAGAAUGCAGACCAAAGUAAUUUAAAAAGUGGUACUGACCUAAAAUCAACGGAAGAUAUUUCUCCAGCAAAAAUGGGUCUAUUUGAGAUCAGCAGAGAAUUGCAAUUCAGGGUCAACAACCAUGAUGAGCCAUAUGCCAACUUCCCACACAGCAGGAGAACAUUUUUAUACAGGGAAAAAAGUUGGGAAAGCCAUAGAAAACAAAGAAUCCAUGGUUUUUCAUUGUCUGAAUUGUUGCCAGAAAAAAGGAACUCUUCCUGUUGGGCUCUGCUAUUGUCAUAUAAGAGAUCCCCAGUCUAAUCUCCAAACUGUUAUUUACUUGAGGUUUCCAUUUAUUAUUACAAUUUUUUGUUUUUGUUUUUUAGGGCUGCAGGUACGGCAUAUGGCAGUUCCCAAGCUAGGGGUCACAUCGAAGCUACAGCCACAGCCACAGGGGGAUCUGAGCUGUAUCUGCGACCUACACCACAGCUCAUGGUAAUGCCAGAUCUCCGACCCACUGAGUGAGGCCAGGAAUUGAAUCCACAUCUUCAUGAAUACUAGUCAGAUUUGCUUCCACUGCACCACAACCAGAACUCCUAUUUUUUUUUUUUAAGUAGGAAAUAUAAGAGAAAAUAGAGUGAGGCAGUGUAACAUACAUUUAAUCAAAUACCCAGAAGACAAAGAGAAGCAAUAGAGUAUGAACAAUCCUCAAAAGGAUAAUGGCUGAGAAUUUUCUAGAACCAAAAAUACCAAUCUGGACGGGGGGGGGGGGGGGGAUCUCAGCACCAAACUCCCUCCCCUACAAAAAACCAAACAAAACAGAACAAAAAAACCUUCUAAACACCUUUUUUUUUUUUUUUUUUGCUUUUUAGGGCCGCACCCACGGCAUAUGGAGGUUCCCAGG
rnacentral:lncRNA from 1 species